rnacentral:tRNA from 1 species
GCCGCCUUAGCUCAGUUGGUUAGAGCGCUAGAUUGUGGAUCUAGAGGUCGCCCGUUCGAGACGGGCAGGCGGUACCA